rfam:Brugia malayi, FR3, WGS project CAPY01000000 data, contig: ctg1511377m
UGGGUGAUGGGAAGUGUAACACUCGCAGUGACGCACCGGUUUCAUCGAUGACCGAAUUCAUUCAUAAUGAAGUAACGACUGUGAGCGAAAGUCCCUGAACCUUGAGACUGAGAGAGCUCCACCCGUAGCUAGGGUGUACUCGGAUAUCCAACCUGGAUGGCGUUUGGGCCAAGAGACCAUAAACGGUUGAGCCUAGGAUGGCCAUCGGUUGACCUCCGGGGUUCGUUGCAAGCAAAGUAACGUUACAUUAUCAAACAGCACAGGGCUUACUCUCCUCAUGUCACCC